ACCUGGGUGGCUCAGUGAGUUAAGCGUCUGACUUCAGCUCAGGUCAUGAUCUCAUGGUCCAUGGGUUCGAGCCCCAUGUCGGGCU
rnacentral:tRNA from 1 species